AUUGAACGCUGGCGGCAUGCCUUACACAUGCGAGUCGAACGGCAGCACGGGAGCAAUCCUGGUGGCGAGUGGCGAACGGGUGAGUAAUAUAUCGGAACGUGCCCAGUCGUGGGGGAUAACGCAGCGAAAGCUGUGCUAAUACCGCAUACGAUCUACGGAUGAAAGCGGGGGACUCGCAAGAGCCUCGCGCGAUUGGAGCGGCCGAUAUCAGAUUAGCUAGUUGGCGGGGUAAAAGCCCACCAAGGCGACGAUCUGUAGCUGGUCUGAGAGGACGACCAGCCACACUGGAACUGAGACACGGUCCAGACUCCUACGGGAGGCAGCAGUGGGGAAUUUUGGACAAUGGGCGCAAGCCUGAUCCAGCAAUGCCGCGUGCAGGAUGAAGGCCUUCGGGUUGUAAACUGCUUUUGUACGGAACGAGAAAGUCUGCCCUAAUACGGCGGGCUCAUGACGGUACCGUAAGAAUAAGCACCGGCUAACUACGUGCC
rnacentral:rRNA from 1 species